rnacentral:rRNA from 1 species
AUUUGUAGCAAUACCGAUAAAAUCUAGUGGCGGACGGGUUGCGUAACACGGUGAGCAAUCUGCCGGGAAGUGGGGGAUAACUCGCCGAAAGGCGAAUUAAUACCGCAUGUGGCCAAGGAAGACAUCUUCCCAAAGCCAAAGUCGCAAGACGCUUCCUGAUGAGCUCGCGGCCUAUCAGCUAGUUGGUGAGGUAACGGCUCACCAAGGCUAUGACGGGUAGCUGGUCUGAGAGGAC